rnacentral:rRNA from 1 species
AUUGAACGCUGGCGGCAUGCCUAACACAUGCAAGUCGAACGGUCACAGGAGACAGCUUGUUGUUUCGCUGUCGCGUGGCGGUCGGGUGAGUCAUGUCUGGGACCCAGCCAGAUGGCGGGGGAAAACUCCUGAAAACGGUAGCUAUUCCCGCCUAUCGUUCCAAGACCAACGUGGGGGACUUUCGGGCGUCUUGCCUUCCACUGUGCCCAGGUGGGGUUAGCUAGUAGGUGGGGUAACGGCUAACCUAGGCCACGAGCCCUAGCUGGUCUGAGAGGGUGACCAGCCACACUGGAACUGAGACACGGUCCAGACUCCUACGGGAGGCAGCAGUGGGGAAUAUUGCGCAAUGGGCGCAAGCCUGAUGCAGCAAUGCCGCGUGUAUGAAGAAGGUCUUCGGGUUGUAAAGUACUUUCAGCGGGGAGGAAGGAAGGAAAGAUAAACCCUGAACUCAUUGACGGUACCCGCAGAAAAAGCACCGGCUAACUCCGUG